rnacentral:rRNA from 1 species
AAAUACUCCUGACUGACCGAUAGUGAACCAGUACCGUGAGGGAAAGGCGAAAAGAACCCCGGCGAGGGGAGUGAAAAAGAACCUGAAACCGUGUACGUACAAGCAGUGGGAGCACGCUUAGGCGUGUGACUGCGUACCUUUUGUAUAAUGGGUCAGCGACUUAUAUUCUGUAGCAAGGUUAACCGAAUAGGGGAGCCGAAGGGAAACCGAGUCUUAACUGGGCGUUAAGUUGCAGGGUAUAGACCCGAAACCCGGUGAUCUAGCCAUGGGCAGGUUGAAGGUUGGGUAACACUAACUGGAGGACCGAACCGACUAAUGUUGAAAAAUUAGCGGAUGACUUGUGGCUGGGGGUGAAAGGCCAAUCAAACCGGGAGAUAGCUGGUUCUCCCCGAAAGCUAUUUAGGUAGCGCCUCGUGAAUUCAUCUCCGGGGGUAGAGCACUGUUUCGGCAAGGGGGUCAUCCCGACUUACCAACCCGAUGCAAACUGCGAAUACCGGAGAAUGUUAUCACGGGAGACACACGGCGGGUGCUAACGUCCGUCGUGAAGAGGGAAACAACCCAGACCGCCAGCUAAGGUCCCAAAGUCAUGGUUAAGUGGGAAACGAU